GGUCCGUUGGUCAAGGGGUUAAGACACCGCGUUUUCACGGCGGUAACACGGGUUCGAAUCCCGUACGGACUA
rnacentral:tRNA from 1 species